UACGUAGGGUGCAAGCGUUGUCCGGAAUUAUUGGGCGUAAAGAGCUCGUAGGCGGUUUGUCGCGUCGAAUGUGAAAACCCGGGGCUCAACCCCGGGCCUGCAUUCGAUACGGGCAGGCUAGAGUUCGGUAGGGGAGUCUGGAAUUCCUGGUGUAGCGGUGAAAUGCGCAGAUAUCAGGAGGAACACCGGUGGCGAAGGCGGAUCUCUGGGCCUUGCCUGACGCUCAGGCGCGAAAGCUAGGGGAGCGAACUGG
rnacentral:rRNA from 1 species